UACGUAGGGUCCGAGCGUUGUCCGGAAUUACUGGGCGUAAAGAGCUCGUAGGUGGUUUGUCGCGUUGUUCGUGAAAACUCACAACUUAACUGUGGGCGUGCGGGCGAUACGGGCAGACUUGAGUACUGCAGGGGAGACUGGAAUUCCUGGUGUAGCGGUGGAAUGCGCAGAUAUCAGGAGGAACACCGGUGGCGAAGGCGGGUCUCUGGGCAGUAACUGACGCUGAGGAGCGAAAGCGUGGGGAGCGAUCCGG
rnacentral:rRNA from 1 species